rnacentral:rRNA from 1 species
UACGUAGGGUGCAAGCGUUAAUCGGAAUUACUGGGCGUAAAGCGUGCGCAGGCGGUUAUGUAAGACAGAUGUGAAAUUCCCGGGCUCAACCUGGGAACUGCAUUUGUGACUGCAUAGCUAGAGUACGGUAGAGGGGGAUGGAAUUCCGCGUGUAGCAGUGAAAUGCGUAGAUAUGCGGAGGAACACCGAUGGCGAAGGCAAUCCCCUGGACCUGUACUGACGCUCAUGCACGAAAGCGUGGGGAGCAAACAGG